CCUGAAUAUACUAAUCAAGGUCUAAGGGUUACUGGAGUUAAGACUCAAAGUUGGCAUGUUCUUAAGGAAUUUGAUUCUUAUUUUAUUCACAAACGAUCUUUGAGUUUGAGGAUUAAUAAUUAAUUGCUUUUUCAAGUGCUUCCUUGUCGCUGGAAAUGGUGCCUGAAGUCUGGUAUUAAACCCAUUUUUGUAAAACAUUCUAUUCAGGAGACUCAACAGCUGCCCAGUGAGGCGUCUGUGUUGAUGACCAAGGAUGUUGAGAGAUAAUCUGCACAUCUUAAAGAGCUCAGUUUUUUUUCUUCACCUCCACUCCUUGAUGGAAGUCCACUCGUAGUUGACUUUGUCAGUCCUACAGAAUUCCAAGUGAGGCCCUGAAAGUGUUAAUAGCGGUUUCUCCUGAGAAAAUCAACAGCUGCUGAGGGGGAAUGUUAAAGAACGUGGCGCGUCUCCCAGAAAUCCUAUAUAAUUCAACCAAUCAGAUGACGACUUGGAAACUCCUGUAAUGUUUCCAGUUUUGUGUGCUGUAUGCAUCAGAUGUUCAGCCAGCGGUCCGUGGGCAUGAUGGCUGAGACUAGAAUCAACCAGGCACGGAUGCCCUCUUCUCUCUCUCAAGGUGAGCUGUGCAGCUGCUUGGAUGAGUUGGAUGUGAUCCUGUCCCGUUCCUUAAUGGCAGCUCACUUGUAUUCAUUGAGGGUUUCAUUGGUCUGUCCACUCAGCUGGUCCUCCAGGGGCUUUUAUCAACUGGCAUGCAAAGAUGUUGCAGAUCUGUUGGCUCUCCAGAUGCUCGUCAUAUGGCUGGAACUCCUAAUUCCUCCUUGCUGCUAUCUCUCUGGAAUGCUGGAGCCUCCUGCUUGGAAUGUCCUCCAGAUCUACUGACUCGACAUUGGAUCACAACUGUGUCAAACCGAACUUGGCACUUUACGUUUCCUCCCUUGAGCUCGUUCUACCAGUGGUUCCUGGACAUUAUAGUGUUCAACCCAGUGCAGCCCGUCCUUCUAUUUGUUUGCAGAGUCUGCUUGUCUGGUAUGAUUACAGAGUAGUAACUUGCAACACUUAUCUGUAGUGAUCUCC